rnacentral:rRNA from 1 species
AUUGAACGCUGGCGGCAGGCCUAACACAUGCAAGUCGAGCGAGCGGCGGACGGGUGAGUAAUGUCUGGGAAACUGCCUGAUGGAGGGGGAUAACUACUGGAAACGGUAGCUAAUACCGCAUACCAUCAGAUGUGCCCCGCUGGGAUUAGCUAGUAGGUGGGGUAACUGCUCACCUAGGCCACGAUCCCUAGCUGGUCUGAGUGGAGGACCAGCCACACUGGAACUGAGAAACGGUCCAGCCUCCUACGGGAGGCAGCAGUGGGGAAUAUUGCACAAUGGGCGCAAGCCUGAUGCAGCCAUGCCGAGUGUAUGAAGAAGGCCUUCGGGUUGUAAAGUACUUUCAGCGGGGAGGCGUUACCCGCAGAAGAAGCACCGGCUAACUCCGUGCCAGCAGCCGCGGUAAUAC